rnacentral:lncRNA from 1 species
GCUCGAGCGCCUCGCGCGUGCAGGGGGACUGCCACCUGGUUCUCAGGCUCAUCACCACGCAGAGGGCCACGGGCAUGGGCCAGCGUGGGCGCUGCGGCUUCCUGUCCUACCUGCAGCUCCUCGGCCACCUGCUGCAGUUCGAACACUGCGCCCGGGAGCCCGACUCCAGCUGGUGCGGGGAGCUCAGCGGGCCGGCUGCCACCCUCCUGUGUCUGCACGGCGCCCAGGGCGACCUGUCGCCCCUGCAGCUGGCGGCGCUGUGAGUGGGUGCUGCGGGUGGGCGGGCAGGCAGGGGCCCCCAGGCUGGCCCCAGCCACCCUGACCCAAGCCAUUCCGCAGGCACUGGCAGGUCAGCAGUCGCCACCAUCAGGCCUGCAGCCUGGACUACGGCUACCUGCUUGGGCUGCUGGGGGACCUGCAGGCGCACUGGGAGGAGGGGGCCGUGCUGCCCCGGGAGCAGGAGGAGAGCCUGGCCCACAGUUUCUCCGCCUUCUCCGAGUUCGGCCUGCGACUCCUGCGCCAGCUCCGAGACUACUUUCCGGCCACCAACAGCAGCGCCAUCCACCACCUGGAGCUGCUGCUCAAGUGGGUGCUGCCGCCAGCGUGGGCGCGAGCCGGGUGGGGGGUGGCGAGGCCGGGUGGGCGCAGACGCCGGCUAGUGGGAGCCUCUCGCCCCAGGUGUCUCGGCAAGCUGCAGCAGUUCCAGCCCUGCUUUGAGGUCCGCCCCUUCCAGACAGAGCUCGAUGUGGAUGUCGCCGCGGCCCUGAAGGUACAUGGGGUGGCCUGCCCCGGCUGACCGCCCCCCGCCUCGCCCAGCUGGCCCCGC